rnacentral:tRNA from 1 species
UGACUCGUAGCUCAGCGGUAGAGCGUCCGACUGUUAAUCGGAACGUCGCAGGUUCGAUCCCUGCCGAGUCAGCCA